rnacentral:rRNA from 1 species
UACGUAGGUGGCAAGCGUUGUCCGGAUUUACUGGGCGUAAAGAGCGCGCAGGCGGUCGUUCAAGUCGCGUGUGAAAGCCCCCGGCUCAACUGGGGAGGGUCAUUCGAUACUGAUCGACUCGAAGGCAGGAGAGGGUAGUGGAAUUCCCGGUGUAGUGGUGAAAUGCGUAGAUAUCGGGAGGAACACCGGUGGCGAAGGCGGUUCUCUGGGCCUGUACUGACGCUGAGGAGCGAAAGCGUGGGGAGCGAACAGG